rnacentral:rRNA from 1 species
ACAUAACUGAUGCCUCCGCGUAUCGACUUUGUGCGCAUUUUAGCUAUUAUGUGUUCUUUUAAUUAAAAUGAUUCUUUUUAAGAUUCAUCUAUUAAGAAUUUGCUUCGGCAUAAUUUUUUUUGAUGAUCUUGUUACUUUGAGUAAAUUAGAGUGUUCAAAGCAAACAGAUAUAGCAUUUGUGCGUUUGAAUACUACAGCAUGGAAUAACAAAAUUGAACAAGUCAGAAUUUUUUUGUUCUUUUUUCUUAUUUUGGCUUAGUUACGAUUAAUAGGAGUAGCUUGGGGGCAUUUGUAUUCAGAUGUCAGAGGUGAAAUUCUUAGAUUUUCUGGAGACAAACAACUGCGAAAGCAUUUGCCUAAAAUACUUCCAUUAAUCAAGAACGAAAGUUAAGGGAGUGAAGACGAUCAGAUACCGUCGUAAUCUUAACCAUAAACUAUGCCGACUAGGCUUUGGAUGAAAGAUUUUAAAAUAAGAGUUUUUCUUUUCUCUCCGGAGAUUAGAACUCUUAGAUUGCUUCCUUCAGUGCCUUAUGAGAAAUCAAAGUCUUUGGGUUCUGGGGCGAGUAUUCGCGCAAGCGAGAAAGUUAAAAGAAUUGACGGAAGGGCACCACCAGGCGUGGAGCUUGCGGCUUAAUUUGACUCAACACGGGAAAACUCACUAGUUUAAGACAAGAGUAGGAUUGACAGAUUAAUAGCUCUUUCUUGAUUUCUUGGAUGGUGAUGCAUGGCCGUUUUUAGUUCGUGAAUAUGAUUUGUCUGGUUAAUUCCGAUAACGAACGAGAUCUUAACCUGCUAAUUAGCGGCAAAUACGAUAUAUUCUUAUGUAGAAUUGAAUAUAGUGGAUUUGUUGGAUUUUGAAGAAAAUAUUGGAAUUACGUUAAAUGUGAUUCCUUUCCCUUUUCUACUUAAUUUACAUUUCCAUCUAUUUCUUUUUUGCGUAUGAAUGUAUUUGCUUGAUUGUAAAGCUUCUUAGAGGAACGAUGUGUG